rnacentral:rRNA from 1 species
CCCUUAGAUGUUCUGGGCCGCACGCGUGCUACACUGAGUGGAUCAGCGGGUCAGGUUGCGCGAAAGUGUUUCCUAAUCUUUAAAUCCGCUCGUGAUGGGGAUUGACGGUUGCAAUUUUCCGUCAUGAACGAGGAAUACCUUGUAAGCGCGGGUCAUCGUCCCGCGCUGAAUACGUCCCUGCCCUUUGUACACACCGCCCGUCGCUCCUACCGAUUGAGUGGUCCGGUGAGGCUUUGGGAUCUGAGCGGAAAGAGCGUUUCGCUGUUUCUGCCCGGAAAACUCAGUCGAACCUUAUCAUUUAGAGGAAGGAGAAGUCGUAACA